GCCGGAACUCACAACUCAGGCUCUAUUUCCAGAAAGUGUCCUCUAGCGCCCGGUUGAUGGACAGACAGUUUAGAAACACUGGCUGCAGUGUAUGUGAAAACUGGCGGCAGAUCUAAGAGGAAGACGGAAGAUCAGGAAUUAAAGGUUACGAAACAAAGUUGAAGAAAUCUCCUAGAAAAUGUGUGGGGAAUAGAAAAUCGGAGAUGAUAAAACCCUUUUAUAAAGUAUGGUAGAAGACAUGCUCUCACACCCUGGGGCAUACUGGGAAAGAAAAGGUGGAAAUGACAGGAAGGAGACAGAGAGUUCAGCAGAACGAAGACUUCAGAUCUCCUGAUGGGACGGCCCAUCAAAUGCCCCACGACAAGGUCUGCAGGAAACUGAGUUUCUGGAAAGCUGGGUUGAUCCUGUUCUUUGAUUCCUUUUCUUUCCAGUUAGAAAUUUUGCCUGAGAGUUCAUACUCAGUCUGUGAUAUCUCCAAUCAUAGGGACAAGUAUCCACAGGUAAGCUAGCGGCCUCCAGGACGACUCGGCAGGUCAAAAAGCCUUGCUACCCAACCUGACUGAGAUUCACAA